rnacentral:lncRNA from 1 species
UUGGGGGCUGGCGCGGAGUGUGGGGGCGGCUGGGGGCGGAGUGUGAACUCGCAUCCACUGCACCAGGGAGCCCAGUGCCGCUCCACGAUUUUUUUUAACUUGGAAUUUCCAUUUGACAAAAAGGCAAGAGGCUUCUCCUGGAUGUAGCGGAACCAUUAACAUCUAUUAAUAAGGCGGCCGGGGCAUCCUCGGCUUCUGUUGGUUUGCAUGACAGCCCCAGAUCCUCAGUGAUGGCCCUGAUUUUGUGCUUGGGAUGUGUUUCCACCCUCUGGAGGAUGAGUCCAGAAAUACUCUCCAUCCCUGGAGGAUUCCACUCGGACUCUGGCUGUCCUCAGCCAGCAGCAGCAAGGUGGUGACCGCAUGCCUGCCAGCCACCCGAGACCUCCAGGCAUGGUGUGGUGGGGCAGCUGGUGUUGUGAAUCAGGCCGUUGCCAAUCAGAGAACGGCUACUUCACAACACCAGGGUCACACCCCAUCACAGGCACCGGCUGCCGUCAAGGCUGCGCAGCGGCUCAUCUCAGGGACACAGCCAUGCCCUCUGGAAGCCCAGCAUGCAUGCAGCUGUGGCUCCUCCUGCACAAACAGCUCUACUCAUAAAAGAAAAACCACUCCUGGCUAUGGCCUUCCCACUGUGAAACGGAGCUUUCACCCCUAACCAUGAUGGCCAGAGCUUUCUGCUCCAGAACAAACACAGUGACCCAGCUCCCCAGCUGGUGUUGACUGCCUGCAGGCACUGGCUGUGUCAUCUCAUUUAGGUACAGGACAGCUUUGGGAAGGGAAGCAGUGCUGUCAAUCCCAUUCUUCCGGUGAGGAACAGUCUCAGAAGAGUGAAGAAAUUUGCUCAAGGUCUCCCAGCUGGUGAAUGGACUGUCAGACUGUCGGACUUCUUCCGACCCUGCUGAUGGGCUUCAUCCUUCUCCUUCCUGGGCAGCUCUCCCCCUGCCCCACCAACAGACCGCACCUUACCCUGGGACUGCUUGCUUUCAGAAUGUUCCAGCUGGGGGCACCCAGGUGGCUCAGUUGGUUAAGCCGCUGCCUUUGGUUCAGGUCCUGAUCCCAGGGUCCUGGGAUCCAUCCCCACAUUGGGACCCUUGCUCAACAGGGAGCCUGCUUCUCCCUCUCCUCCCGCCCCUGCCGCUAUGCACACACACGUGUACUCUAUCAAAUAAAUAAAAUCUUUUUUAAAAAUGUUCCAGCUGACAGCUUAAAACACUGGAGCUUGGGGAGAGAAAGCACUGCCCUCCUGUAGCGAACCUCCUGUAUGCAGAUUUUCUCAGGCCUCACUCAAGUGGACAAGAGUGUGUGUGUGUAAUUGGCUUUUUGACUGUGAAACUCACCUUAAUUCUCUUCUGUCUUUGCCUGUACCGUCUCUUUCUGUGCAUUGCCUGCAGGAAUACCCUUCAGUGUUUUAGAGGCACAAAACAAAUAACAAAAAACAAAACAUUGUUCCAGCACCAAACCAUUCGAAAUCAAAAGUAUUAUAGAUGUAUAGGAUAGGAUAUGAAAGUUCCUUAUAAUCCUAUCCCCAGAGAAAACCACUUAGUUUUUAAUGGUUUUUUGUUUCGUUUGUUUGUUUUUUAUAAUGAUUACCAAAGCCAUACCCUUUUAACAAUACAUCAAAAUGAAUUAAAGGUAAAUACAGGGCAGCCCGGGUGGCUCAGCGGUUUGGCCCCUGCCUUCAGCGCAGGGUGUGAUCCUGGAAACCCAGGAUCGAGUCCCACAUCGGGCUCCCUGGGUGGAGCCUGCUUCUCCCUCUGCCUGUGUCUCUGCCUCUCUGUGUGUGUGUCUCUCUCAUGAAUAAAUAAAGAAAAUAUUUUUAAAUAAAUAAAUAAAUAAAUAAAUAAAUAAAUAAAUAAAAAUAAAUAAAUAAAAUAAUAAAUGUAAACACAUGCUUCAUUGCUCAGUCAUCCUUGGCAGGCACAGGACCACAUCCAUGUGUACAGCUUGCCACAUGAGUUACCAGGUCUCCCCACCAUUGAGCCCUUGAUUUUUGACCCAGAGUAAAUAGAAUAGGCAAGGGCUGACUUGUAGUGGUUUUGAAACACUCAGUCUUGAGGUUCUGACCUUCACUGCCCAGGGUCCCCUGGGAUCCGCCACCACCCCCACAACCUCACUCCACCUUCCUGCUAGUCCUCAGACUCCCUGCCCCUAAGGCCUUCUCACCCACCUUUCCCUGCAGAGACUUCUUUCCUCCAGGUGUCAGGUUGACUCCCUUCCUCCCCUGAGGGCCACCCUGAACUUUCCUUUGAAUGUGUGCCACUGGCCACAGCACAACCCUUCCCUCCCAUCUCCCUACCUUGCUCCGCCUUGUCUCCAAGGCGUAUGUAUCACCUUUAGACUCUGAUAUAAUUCACCUGUGAUCUGGUCUCCUCCCACUAGAUGUAACCCCCUGAAGGCAGGGAUUAUUGUCAGCUCUGUUCAUUGAUAACAGCUCCAGCGCGGUGCAGGAUACACGCUAGGUGUUCAGCGCAUGUCUGUCGGAUGAGCAAAUGUGGGACCCAUCUUUGCCAAGGCCGAGGAGUAACAGCCCUUCUCCUGCUGGCCCCCAGCUUCUCCAUCCCAGCCCCUCCCAUAAAUGGCUCCCUCUCCGCUGCAUUCACAUGGCAUUUAAGCUCUGGGAAACUCAAGUUUCCAGUGCCCUCAUUUUAUUGAUAAGGAUGAUAAAGCCCACAGGAGAGGGCUCUUGGCAAAGGCAAGAAUGACUUUCGUGGGGCAUUGUGACCAGAGGCUGUCAUAGACAAGCCCAGGAAUUUUGGAUGCAUCUUGCCAAGUUUAAGGACACAGAAUACAGCUUCCCUGAGCUCCAGACUAGGUCAAGUUCCCCCAUUACUCACAUGGCACCCUGUACUUUAAAACCCUUUACACUCUUAAAGAACUGGUUUUGCAGUAUCCUUUCUCCACCAAGCAGCAAGCUUCAGAAGUGGAGAAGUAAGGCUCCCCAAGACCUGACGAUACCCGGCACAUAGUAGGUGUUUUGACGGACUCUGUCUCCUGUAGUGCCUUGCUCUGUUCUGGCACACAGGGAUACUUGACACUUUCCCCAUUCUGCAAAAGACAUUCAGUGCCUCUCUAUUCCCAGAGCCACAAAACAAAUUCAGAGACGACUGCCAAAUGGAUGGUACUACCAGCUUGGGAAGAGAGUGACCUGGUAAAGAUGCUCCUAUUUCUCUCCAUGGAGUGGUAGGAGUGACCUAGGACCUAGAGGACAGACCUAAACUGUGACUUGCAGCCAAAAGCAUUCAUAAUUUGUCUAACCAGAACUGUUCUAUCAGAAUUAUCACCCAUAACAAGAAGCCUGGAGGUAGGGAGUCCAGGACUGAUGCUGUGAUUUAAGGAUGCCAUCGAAAACCCAGGCUUCACCUUUCUGUUUUACCACCUUGUGGUCACAAGAAGGCUGCUACUGUUCAAGGCAUCACCUCCACAUUCCUCGAAGAAAAAAGGAGAGGCAGAAUGGCCAGAAAUAUCCCUCUAUUUAUCAGGACACAUAGCUUUCCCAGAAACCUCCACACAGCCACCUCCCACUUACAUCUCACUGGCUAGAACUCCAUCACAUGGCCACCUGGAGCCCCUAGAAAGGUGAGGAUUCACCUACUGAGAGCGGACAAGAUGCAGCAGUGAGGGAGGAGUGGGUCUAAGAGCUGUAGAGUUAGCCAAUAGCAUCUGCCAAAACUAUGAAAGUUAUUUUUUAUAGAACUGCUUUCUUACUACAAAAGCAAUGUGUUCCAGUUGGUUGCAUCUUUUUGACAUGGAUAAAACCAUACUAUAGGUUGCUUUAUAAUGACCUUUUCACUUGAAAUGGUGAAAAAUCUUUCCAAAUUAUUAAAUAGUCUUUACAGAAUCACAUUUUAUGUCUCUGUGUUCCAUUGAAUUAGAGACCAUGGUUUAUGCAGCCCCUUCAUGUUGGGCCUUUCGAGGUUUAUAAGGGUACAGUGUGACAAACCAACACCGGUGACUCUCCUCGUAGCUAAACUUUGCUCAACAUGCCCCUUUCUCAGAAUGUAUCAUAAGGGAAUAACCUUGGACAUGCACAGUAUUGAGAGCUUCAAGAUGGCCUGCCAAAUAGCCUUCCUGGAUGGAUUAUUCCAAUGUACCAUCCCCCCAGCAGAUACCAGUGCCCUUUUCUCCCCCAGUUUUUCACCAACACUGACAAAAAGACUGGGGA